rnacentral:rRNA from 1 species
AUACGUAGGGGGCGAGUGUUGUCCGGAAUGAUUGGGCGUAAAGGGCGCGUAGGCGGCGCGGUAAGUCUGGAGUGAAAGUCCUGCUUUCAAGGUGGGAAUUGCUUUGGAUACUGCCGCGCUUGAGUGCAGGAGAGGUUAUCGGAAUUCCCGGUGUAGCGGUGAAAUGCGUAGAGGUCGGGAGGAACACCAGUGGCGAAGGCGGGUAACUGGACUGCAACUGACGCUGAGGCGCGAAAGUGUGGGGAGCAAACAGGAUUAGAUACCCUGGUAGUCCACACUGUAAACGAUGAAUGCUAGGUGUAAGAGGUAUCGACCCCUUUUCUGCCGGAGUCAACACAAUAAGCAUUCCGCCUGGGGAGUACGGCCGCAAGGUUGAAACUCAAAUGAAUUGACGGGG